ACGAACGCUGGCGGCGUGCUUAACACAUGCAAGUCGAACGGAAAGGCCCUGCUUUUGUGGGGUGCUCGAGUGGCGAACGGGUGAGUAACACGUGAGUAACCUGCCCUUGACUUUGGGAUAACUUCAGGAAACUGGGGCUAAUACCGGAUAGGAGCUCCUGCUGCAUGGUGGGGGUUGGAAAGUUUCGGCGGUUGGGGAUGGACUCGCGGCUUAUCGGCUUGUUGGUGGGGUAGUGGCUUACCAAGGCUUUGACGGGUAGCCGGCCUGAGAGGGUGACCGGCCACAUUGGGACUGAGAUACGGCCCAGACUCCUACGGGAGGCAGCAGUGGGGAAUAUUGCACAAUGGGCGGAAGCCUGAUGCAGCAACGCCGCGUGCGGGAUGACGGCCUUCGGGUUGUAAACCGCUUUCGCCUGUGACGAAGCGCGAGUGACGGUAAUGGGUAAAGAAGCACCGGCUAACUACGUG
rnacentral:rRNA from 1 species